GCUUCCUUGGCUCAGUUGGCUAGAGCGCAGGUCUCAUACCGAACGGUGUGAUCUUCUUUAGAAGAGUAAUCCUGAGGUCGCAAGUUCGAGCCUUGCAGGGAGCA
rnacentral:tRNA from 1 species